GACGAACGCUGGCGGCGUGCUUAACACAUGCAAGUCGAACGGAAAGGCCCUGCUUUUGUGGGGUGCUCGAGUGGCGAACGGGUGAGUAACACGUGAGUAACCUGCCCUUGACUUUGGGAUAACUUCAGGAAACUGGGGUUAAUACCGGAUAGGAGCUCCUGCUGCAUGGUGGGGGUUGGAAAGUUUCGGCGGUUGGGGAUGGACUCGCGGCUUAUCAGCUUGUUGGUGGGGUAGUGGCUUACCAAGGCUUUGACGGGUAGCCGGCCUGAGAGGGUGACCGGCCACAUUGGGACUGGGAUACGGCCCGGCCUCCUACGGGAGGCAGCAGGGGGAAAUAUGGCACAAUGGGCGGAAGCCGGAGGCAGCAACGCCGCGGGCGGGAUGACGGCCUUCGGGUUGUAAACCGCUUUCGCCUGUGACGAAGCGGGAGUGACGGUAAUGGGUAAAGAAGCACCGGCUAACUACGUG
rnacentral:rRNA from 1 species